rnacentral:rRNA from 1 species
UACGGGAGGCAGCAGUGGGGAAUAUUGCACAAUGGGCGCAAGCCUGAUGCAGCCAUGCCGCGUGUAUGAAAAAGGCCUUCGGGUUGUAAAGUACUUUCAGUCGUGAGGAAGGUGUUAAGGUUAAUAACCUUAGCAAUUGACGUUAGCGACAGAAGAAGCACCGGCUAACUCCGUGCCAGCAGCCGCGGUAAUACGGAGGGUGCGAGCGUUAAUCGGAAUUACUGGGCGUAAAGGGCACGCAGGCGGUUAAUUAAGUUGGAUGUGAAAUCCCCGGGCUUAACCUGGGAAUGGCAUUCAAGACUGGUUAGCUAGAGUCUUGUAGAGGGGGUAGAAUUCCAUGUGUAGCGGUGAAAUGCGUAGAGAUGUGGAGGAAUACCGGUGGCGAAGCGGCCCCUGGACAAAGACUGACGCUCAUGUGCGAAAGCGUGGGGAGCAACAGGGAUUAGAUACC